ACUUGCUGUUAGGAGUGUUUCGCGGAUGUUUCCGCGGGGCUGAGAUAGAUCCUUAGCACCUGAAGCCGGUAAUGCGGCCGUAGGGAAACAGUGGCAAUAAGAU
rnacentral:ncRNA from 2 species